GACGAACGCUGGCGGCGUGCCUAACACAUGCAAGUCGAGCGAAGGGAGUCUUCGGAACAAACCUAGCGGCGGACGGGUGAGUAACACGUGGGCAACCUACCUCAAAGAGGGGGAUAGCCUCCCGAAAGGGAGAUUAAUACCGCAUAAAAUCAUGCUCUCGCAUGGGAGAAUGAUCAAAGGAGCAAUCCGCUUUGAGAUGGGCCCGCGGCGCAUUAGCUAGUUGGUGAGGUAACGGCUCACCAAGGCCACGAUGCGUAGCCGACCUGAGAGGGUGAUCGGCCACAUUGGAACUGAGAUACGGUCCAGACUCCUACGGGAGGCAGCAGUGGGGAAUAUUGCACAAUGGGCGAAAGCCUGAUGCAGCAACGCCGCGUGAGGGAUGACGGCCUUCGGGUUGUAAACCUCUUUCAGCAGGGAAGAAGCGAAAGUGACGGUACCUGCAGAAGAAGCACCGGCUAACUACGUG
rnacentral:rRNA from 1 species